rnacentral:lncRNA from 1 species
CAUAGCCCCAUUAUAAAUUGAGGAUCAUCCGUAAUGAGUGGAUUUUUAUGGUGAGUUAUUCUUCAAUAAAGCUGUUUUUUAAAAACAGGGAAAAUGAAUGAUGAGGAAAAACUUAUGAGCCAUGAGUGCUGACUAAUGAGUCAGCUCCUGUGAACAGCGUACUGUGAAGCAUUAAGCUAGGUAUGAAUCACAGCAGUGACGAUGAGGAUGCAGGGCGUGGUGUUUACAGACCAGGGACUGUGAGGUCCUCCCCAUGCCGGUGUUCUGGGAUGAUGGCAGGCACUCAGGGGCAGGUGAAUGACACGUCUGAGGAGGCCAGGCCUUGAGCACUGUCUCUCAGCCCCUGGAGAGGUGACCAUGCUUUGGCAGCAAUAGAAUUCAUGUCCACUGAGAGUAGGACCUCAAGUGGUGACCAGAAUGGCCUCCCGGGUGCUUUGGGACUCAGAUCCAGUCCCCUUUGCCAAAUACUUGGCAUACCAAUUAGGACGGUUAUUAUCCAAACAACUUAAAAGCGGUGAAAAUGGUAAACUUAAUUUUAUAGAUACUUUACCACAAUGUAAGAAAUAAAAAAUAUAAAAAUGAAAACACAUUGCUCACAGCCCCAAGAAUGACUGAGAUGGAUUUUCCACCAGCUCAGCAGGGGAGAUUCGGGUCCCCGCCCACAUCUCCUAUCAAAUUGUAAUCCUCGGUGU